ensembl:rRNA 5S_rRNA 5S ribosomal RNA
GUCUAUGGCCAUACCAGCCUGAACGUGCCCGAUCUCAUCUGAUCUCAGAAGCUAAGCAGGGUCGGUCCUGGUUAGUACUUGAAUGGGAGUUCUAGGAAUGUUCCAGGAAGUGAUAUAAG